AUUGAACGCUGGCGGCGUGCUUAACACAUGCAAGUCGUGCGGUAACAGGCGUAGCAAUACGUGCUGACGAGCGGCGAACGGGUGCGUAAUACAUGGGAAUCUGCCCUUUAGUGGGGAAUAACCCGGCGAAAGCCGGGCUAAUGCCGCAUAAGAUCUUCGGAUGAAAGCGGGGGAUCGUAAGACCUCGCGCUGAUGGAUGAGCCCAUGUCGGAUUAGCUAGUGGUGAGGUAACGGCUCACCAAGGCGACGAUCCGUAGCUGGUCUGAGAGGACGGCCAGCCACACUGGGACUGAGACACGGCCCAGACUCCUACGGGAGGCAGCAGUGGGGAAUAUUGGACAAUGGGGAAACCCUGAUCCAGCGACGCCGCGUGUGUGAAGAAGGCCUGCGGGUUGUAAAGC
rnacentral:rRNA from 1 species